rnacentral:misc_RNA from 1 species
GAUGAAGAACGCAGCGAAAUGCGAUAAGUAGUGUGAAUUGCAGAAUUCAGUGAAUCAUCGAAUCUUUGAACGCACAAUGCGCCCCUUGGUAUUCCAUGGGGCAUGCCUGUUCGAGCGUCAUCUACACCCUCAAGCUCUGCUUGGUGUUGGGCGUCUGUCCCGCCUCUGCGCGCGGACUCGCCCCAAAUUCAUUGGCAGCGGUCCUUGCCUCCUCUCGCGCAGCACAUUGCGCUUCUCGAGGUGCGCGGCCCGCGUCCACGAAGCAACAUUACCGUCUUUGACCUCGGAUCAGGUAGGGAUACCCGCUGAACUUAAGCAUAUCAAUAAGCGGAGGA